GUUUUUAUGAUAUGCAAAAAUCUAAUCAAUGUCAUCCUAACUUUAUGCUUAAUUUCCAACAGGAUUGUACUUGCACCAGAUGGGUCUUUAGAAGCAUCAAGGGGUAUGAUUGUAAAUACAAUGGCAAAUUCACAUCCAUGUGGAUGCCAUCAUGCCUUGCAGGCGAAGAAAGACCAGCCAUUGCCAAGAACAGAAAAAACAAGAAGCAUUUAUUGUUACCAGCCAGGACUGGGUGUCCUCAAAACAAGAGAUUUGAAUCGUUGCUCCUCAGAGGCAGCCUCUGCUUUCAAACACCCUAAAUAAUUUGCUAUCAUCUAUGAAAUCUGGACUGACUGAAUACCUUAGGGAGUUGGCCUAUCAGGGGUCGGGAGUUCAAUGCCCCCAGAAGAAGGGAAUGGUAACCCACUUCUGAGUACACUUUACUUAGAAAAUCCUGAGGAAAGUUGCCAUAAAUUGGAAUCAGUUCCAUGAUGCUUAAUUAAAU
rnacentral:lncRNA from 1 species